GACGAACGCUGGCGGCGUGCUUAACACAUGCGAGUCGAACGGAAAGGCCCUGCUUUUGUGGGGUGCUCGAAUGGCGAACGGGUGAGUAACACGUGAGUAACCUGCCCUUGACUUUGGGAUAACUUCAGGAAACUGGGGCUAAUACCGGAUAGGAGCUCCUGCUGCAUGGUGGGGGUUGGAAAGUUUCGGCGGUUGGGGAUGGACUCGCGGCUUAUCAGCUUGUUGGUGGGGUAGUGGCUUACCAAGGCUUUGACGGGUAGCCGGCCUGAGAGGGUGACCGGCCACAUUGGGACUGAGAUACGGCCCAGACUCCUACGGGAGGCAGCAGUGGGGAAUAUUGCACAAUGGGCGGAAGCCUGAUGCAGCAACGCCGCGUGCGGGAUGACGGCCUUCGGGUUGUAAACCGCUUUCGCCUGUGACGAAGCGUGAGUGACGGUAAUGGGUAAAGAAGCACCGGCUAACUACGUG
rnacentral:rRNA from 1 species